rnacentral:rRNA from 1 species
CGUCCGCCGGCGGACCGGCGCACGGGUGAGUAACGCGUAUGCAACCUGCCCGUUUCAGCGGGAUAACCCGGAGAAAUCCGGCCUAAUACCGCAUGUGGCCGAGGGGAGGCAUCUUCUUUCGGCCAAAGGAGGCGACUCCGGAGACGGAUGGGCAUGCGUGACAUUAGCUAGUUGGCGGGGUAACGGCCCACCUAACCGACGAUGCGUAGGGGUUCUGAGAGGAAGGUCCCCCACACUGGUACUGAGACACGGACCAGACUCCUACGGAAGGCAGCAG